AUUAACAGGAAGCUGCUGCUCCGCCGUGCACUGAAAUCCGAGGCCACGCCCACGUUGAGCUGCUGUACCGUUCUUGUUUUCAGAAGCGACCUGCCCACAACAACAAUAACAACAAGUCGGGAAGUUAUCACAGCACACGUGCAGCUGAAAUCG